rnacentral:rRNA from 1 species
AUUGAACGCUGGCGGCAGGCUUAACACAUGCAAGUCGAGCGGAGAUGAGGUGCUUGCACCUUAUCUUAGCGGCGGACGGGUGAGUAAUGCUUAGGAAUCUGCCUAUUAGUGGGGGACAACAUUCCGAAAGGAAUGCUAAUACCGCAUACGUCCUACGGGCGAAAGCAGGGGAUCUUCGGACCUUGCGCUAAUAGAUGUGCCUAAGUCGGAUUAGCUAGUUGGUGGGGUAAAGGCCUACCAAGGCGACGAUCUGUAGCGGGUCUGAGAGGAUGAGCCGCCACACUGGGACUGAGAAACGGCCCAGACUCCUACGGGAGGGAGCAGGUGGGAAUAUUGGACAAUGGGGAGAACCCUGAUCCAGCCAUGCCGCGUGUGUGAAUAAGGCGUUAUGGUUGUAAAGCACUUUAAGCGAGGAGGAGGCUACUGAGACUAAUACUCUUGGAUAGUGGACGUUACUCGCAGAAUAAGCACCGGCUAACUCUGUGCCAGCCGCCGCCGUAAGAC